GUUUGGUGCUGCACAAGUCAGAGUUUCCAACAUCUGAAGGAAUGCCCAACAGCAUGGAAUAACUAACACUGGAUCCCAGAACUACAACUCAGAAUAGUUGAGAUUGGAAGGAAGCUCUGAGAACCACCCAGUCUAAAACCUCCAACUCCCUG
rnacentral:lncRNA from 12 species